rnacentral:rRNA from 1 species
GAUGAACGCUAGCGACAGGCCUAACACAUGCAAGUCGAGGGGUAGCACAGAAUAGCUUGCUAUUUGGGUGACGACCGGCGCACGGGUGAGUAACGCGUAUGCAACCUGCCUAUAAGAGGGGGAUAGCCUUUCGAAAGAAAGAUUAAUACCGCAUAAUACUAUUUACCUGCAUGGGUAAAUAGUUAAACUAUUUGGCUUAUAGAUGGGCAUGCGUUCCAUUAGAUAGUUGGUGAGGUAACGGCUCACCAAGUCAGCGAUGGAUAGGGGUUCUGAGAGGAAGGUCCCCCACACUGGUACUGAGACACGGACCAGGCUCCUACGGGAGGCAGCAGUGAGGAAUAUUGGUCAAUGGGCGAGAGCCUGAACCAGCCAAGUCGCGUGAAGGAUGAAGGUCUUAUGGAUUGUAAACUUCUUUUAUAAGGGAAUAAAAAAGAUCACGUGUGGUCUAUUGCAUGUACCUUAUGAAUAAGCAUCGGCUAACUCCGUGCCAGCAGCCGCGGNAAUACGGAGGANGCGAGCGUUAUCCGGAUUUAUUGGGUUUAAAGGGUGCGUAGNCGGUUUAUUAA